AGAUUGCUCCUGGAUGGUGGUCUCAUUUGUGCGUCGAGCGCCACGAAGAACAGAGUAGAGAUAUUAUCAAAGAGGUUGGAGAAACUGGGUUAGGGACGUCGGCAGAAUGGAGGGGGGGAGGAGGAAGAGAGAAGCGCAAGCCGACGAGCUCUACCUCGCCGACGAGAUCUACGGCGGCUAGCCACCUACUGCGUGGUGACGAUGGAGAUCUGCGGAACAGCCUCCGCUGCACAUCCCAGGCCGUCUCGGUUUCUCUGUCCUGCAGACGACGCCGCACGCAAGGGUGGAGUCCGAGCCUCCACCGGAGCUUGGACGGGACGGACGGGAGGUGGAGGUCAGCGCGGAUCUGGCGUCAGGUAUAUGCAAAAGAACAUGCAGCAAUCAGUCUUGAAAUGUUGCCAUUUGUUUUGGGCCCGUGGCCCUGAUACUUCAAGAUCACAUGAGACUGCCUUUUUUUUUUGUGACGGCGGUGAUUAUGACAGCUACUACGGGCGUUUCUUCCUUAAUUGGUAUUCUCGAAUCCUUGUUGAUCAUGUGGUGCUCUCACUUGCUACUCUUGCAUUCGAUGGAGCAGAAAUUGUAGUGUAAGGCAUGCUGUUGUUCAGUAAGUUCUUAUUUGGGCCUUGAUUGAAGCACCAUAUUCUUCUCGCUAAUUUUUGGAAGAAAUAACUUCACAUUUAGUCCCUGUGAUUUUCUUUGUCUGAGCUGUUUUCCAUGUGUUCUUCUUAAGCAUAUAUUUUUUCUAUUUUAUUCUGAUUGCUCUUCUAUCUAAAGCACCUGAAGAUUGCUGGAAACCUGGUGUAGUACUAUGUCUUUGACAAUUUAUGGGGAGUUGAAUGCCUAAUCAUGAUAUAUUCAUUGGGUUUGGACGAGAAAUGGUGCAGAAGCUAUUCAUGAUGCUACUUAAUUAUAUCGAUUCAACUAUUGUCUAUGGCGGGCGGCUAGAGAGCGCUCCCGGCACAACCAAUUUAUAAGAUUCUUACAACAGAAAUAGUGGAAGCAUAAUAUCUUGUUGCUUUGUUUAUAUUGAAGUGGCUAUUUAUCUUUUCGAUUAAGAGAUGGGGUUUCUGAUUCUCCUCGUUGUACCUUCUCUUUGUUGUGUUAAGUCCAUGCUUGAUUGGCUACUUCUGGAAUGCAGAUUAGGCGUAUCUGGUUUCUGCAUCACUCCUGCAAAGAUCAAAGUGCAUGAGUCCUCCAGGAUUCACGGUACAGCUAUUCCAAGCCUAUACGUACCUUGAGAAGUCGUCUCACCAUGUCUUUCCCUUUCCUUUGACCAGAGGAGAAGUACUCGGCUAAUAGUCUGCUCCUUCCCCCUCCCAAACCCCUGAUGUGUGCAACUUUUAUCUUCUUCAAUGCAUAUGGACAUUGGUAUUAGUAUUAGGUGUUGUAAAAUCCAUUUGUUGUUGGAUCAGGGGAACAAUUGUGGCAUCUCCUUCAUGAUAAAGAUCCUCCACCUCUACGAAAGUGAUAUUGCAUUGUUUUAUUUUACAGGGGAAAGGGGAACACUUGUCUGCCUCGUCGCGCACAAGUCUGAGCUUGCUGUUUGCUGAACCUUGUUGUUUACUGAGAAGUAACAUUUCAGUUCUGAUGCAUGCUUCAAUUUAGUGUACUAGUCCGAUGUGCCGGUGGUAAAUCUUUGCACCUGAUACAUGCUAGUAUGCUACUUCUGCUACUGUGAAUUUAUUAGUUGCUGUGCUGCUGGUGUUCCUUGGUUAUAUAUGCGCAAUUUGGUUUACAAGUCUCGUGCGCAGUUUGCUAAAGAUCAUCAACAAUACAAGAAGGUGGUCAUAGCAUCACGUUGUCUGAACUUGGUCAGGGCAUGCCUGGACAAAUCUCUUGCAAGAUCAAUCGUCCAAGACAUGAAGUCAAUUGCAGCUAGUUUGGAGUGUAGUUUUUUUUUUGUGUAUUUAUUUUUUCUUUCUUCGUAGAUGGUGUCAGUUAGGCAAUGAGCUGCAAUAUCACAAAAGGAUGAGCUCACAAGCUGACAAAAAACUUUCUAGUACACACAUUUCUCCCAAGUGCUAACUGUUGUUCCUUGGUAUAAUUAUUUUCUCCGGGUGCCAUGGCUAA